GACGAACGCUGGCGGCGUGCUUAACACAUGCAAGUCGAACGAUGAAGCCGGAGCUUGCUCUGGUGGAUUAGUGGCGAACGGGUGAGUAACACGUGAGUAACCUGCCCUUGACUCUGGGAUAAGCGUUGGAAACGACGUCUAAUACCGGAUACGAGCUAGGACCGCAUGGUCACUAGCUGGAAAGGACUUCGGUCAAGGAUGGACUCGCGGCCUAUCAGCUAGUUGGUGAGGUAACGGCUCACCAAGGCGACGACGGGUAGCCGGCCUGAGAGGGUGACCGGCCACACUGGGACGGAGACACGGCCCAGACUCCUACGGGAGGCAGCAGUGGGGAAUAUUGCACAGUGGGCGCAAGCCUGAUGCAGCAACGCCGCGUGAGGGACGACGGCCUUCGGGUUGUAAACCUCUUUUAGCAGGGAAGAAGCGCAAGUGACGGUACCUGCAGAAAAAGCACCGGCUAACUACGUGCCAGCAGCCGCCGUAAAAC
rnacentral:rRNA from 1 species